CUCUCCAGCAUCGUGUGUGAAUGCUGUCUUGAUUCCCUCUACGACAAUAGAGGACUGAACUUCUGAAACUCUCCUGAAUUUUGAGUGUUACCGUAAUAUGAUGAAGCCUGGGUAUGCAAGAAGAAGAGGGGGAAGAGUUCAAGAAUCAAACAUCAAGAACUGAAGGCCAUUCUGAGAAUGCUGUCUGCCUGUGAAGACCCAUAAUGCAUAGUUAUUCUAUAGACCUGAGAGGACAAGGGCACUUAUAAGAAGAUGAAGGCACUUGGUUUUCUUGCAGAGGAUCCAGGAUUGAGUCUCAGGAUCCACAUGGUGGCUCAUAUCUGUAACUCCAGGUCCAGAAGAUCUAGUCUUAGUGGGCACAAGGUACCCACAUGCUAUACGUACAUGUAUGCAGGCAAAUAUUAAUGCACACAAAAUAAAAAGGUGCUCACCUGAAGAAACUAGAGAAUAGCCUCACCAGAGUGUUGACAUCACAACUGAAAGCUCUAGAAAAAAUAGAAGCAAAUUCACCCCAAGGAGCAGACACCAGGAAAUAAUCAAACUGAGGGCAGAAAACAAUAAAGUCAAAACAAAGAAAACAAUUCAAAGAAGCAAUGUAAUAAAGAGUU
rnacentral:lncRNA from 1 species